rnacentral:lncRNA from 1 species
AGCACACGAGUUACUGAAAGAAGUGUUUAAAUCUAAACUAAGAAAUUUAAAAUUACAUGUUCUCUGUUCGAGAGUUUUUUGAUUCGGGGUCUUUUGCUCUAUGUCUUUUCUUCCUUUUAUACUCCCUGGAUGAUCUCUUUGUAAUCAACCGCCUAAAAACUGCUUAAUCGUUCUAUAACUGCCCACUUUCCUCGUAAUGGCCAACUUGUCAUGGAACUGCCUUUUUUAACUGCUGUCAUUACGCUUUGU